rnacentral:rRNA from 1 species
GUCCACGCCGUAAACGAUGUCAACUAGCCGUUGGUUAUAUAUACAGAAUUAGUGGCGCAGCUAACGCAUUAAGUUGACCGCCUGGGGAGUACGGCCGCAAGGUUAAACUCAAAUGAAUUGACGGGGCCCGCACAAGCGGUGGAGCAUGUGGUUUAAUUCGAUGCAACGCGAAGAACCUUACCUACCCUUGACAUCCAGAGAAUCUGUUAGAGAUAGUAGAGUGCCUUCGGGAACUCUGAGACAGGUGCUGCAUGGCUGUCGU